rnacentral:sRNA from 1 species
CCUUUUGUGCUGCGGCCGCGGAGCCCCCGAGGGCCCAGUGUUCACCAUCAUACCAGGGGCCAGAGGCGAUGGCUUGCCUCCAUGAGACCCGAACACCCUCUCCUUCCUUUGGGGGCUUCGUGUCUACCCUAAGUGAGGCAUCCAUGCGCAAGCUGGACCCAGACACUUCUGACUGCACUCCCGAGAAGGACCUGACGCCUACCCACUACAUGAGCAGGAUGCAGGGGGCCCAGGGGGAGCAGCUGGGUCACCUGAGAGUCGGGCAUCCAGAGUUCGAGCUGACGAGGUGCGACUGCAGUGCCAGAGUGGCAGUGGCUUCCUUGAGGGCCUCUUUGGCUGCCUGCGCCCUGUCUGGACCAUGAUUGGCAAAGCCUACUCCACUGAGCACAAGCAGCAGCAGGAAGACCUUUGGGAGGUCCCCUUUGAGGAAAUCCUGGACCUGCAGUGGGUGGGCUCAGGGGCCCAGGGUGCUGUCUUCCUGGGGCGCUUCCACGGGGAGGAGGUGGCUGUGAAGAAGGUGCGAGACCUCAAAGAAACCGACAUCAAGCACUUGCGAAAGCUGAAGCACCCCAACAUCAUCACCU